AAGAAUUAAGGAAAUUAAGAGAGAGAGAGAGAGCUUCAUUACCUAUAUAUAUAGAGAUACAUAUUGUAGUCAUCCUGCUGGAGCAAACCGUGGAGAAGGAAGAAAGGAAGAAUAAAGAAGAAGAUGGCUUUGUAGGAUACCAAAAUUGAAGUUAAAAAUUAUGAAAAAUUCAUCUUAAGGAUUGGAGGAAGGCAUCUCUACACGUCUUGGGAAUUAAUUCGUAGAGUUUCAAAUCUACGCUUUUGCUAUUUUGGAGAUUCCUAGACUUUUGUGUGGCUCGCCUCAACUUGGAAGAUUAGAGUUUCUGGAGGAUCAAAUGUGAACAUCUGUAGUUGAGGUUUUGCUUAGGGUGACUCUAGGAUGUAGUUUUAUCCUUUGUUUUAUGAAGUAGGUUGAUUGUAAAUAUUUGCUUUGUGAAGUUGGAUGUAUUGAUUGAUUCACGAAUAGUAUGUUUUAUUUUGGGGGUAAUGGUGCAUGGAAACUAUCUUAGUAGCAUGAUGAUAUUUUUGUCUUUGAAUGGAUCAUCUCAUAUAUGUUGGCCAAUCGAAGGGUCUUAUGCACUAUUGGUGAUGUGAUAUAAGAAUUAUACAGGUGAUUAUUGUGUACA